rnacentral:rRNA from 1 species
AGAUUGAACGCUGGCGGCAGGCCUAACACAUGCAAGUCGAGCGGCAGCACGGGUACUUGUACCUGGCGGCGAGCGGCGGACGGGUGAGUAAUGCCUAGGAAUCUGCCUGGUAGUGGGGGAUAACGCUCGGAAACGGACGCUAAUACCGCAUACGUCCUACGGGAGAAAGCAGGGGACCUUCGGGCCUUGCGCUAUCAGAUGAGCCUAGGUCGAUUAGCUAGUUGGUGAGGUAAUGGCUCACCAAGGCGACGAUCCGUAACUGGUCUGAGAGGAUGAUCAGUCACACUGGAACUGAGACACGGUCCAGACUCCUACGGGAGCAGCAGGUGGGAAUAGUUGGACAAGUGGGACGAAAGCCUGAUCCAGCCAAGUCGCCGCGUGUGUGAAGAGGUCUUAGAUUAGUAAGCGUACGUUUAAGGUGGAAGGAAGGACUAGUUAACCUAAUACGUAUU